ACACAGAACUCCACUGAAUUCUGGGAGUUGUAGUUUGUGCUGCAGGUAAGGAAAAAAAGUAUUUAGGAGACAACAAUUGCCACAGGAGCUGCCAAAACCACAUGAAUAACUACAGGGGACAAAGAACAGAGGAUCAGAAUGCGCUGACAUAGUGAGGAGACGUCUGGGCAUCAAGUUCUGCAGAGAGAAGAUUUAGCUGGAACAAAUCCUGGCGACAUAGAAGAUUGGUCUCAGCACCUUCCCAUAUGUUGCAUAGAACAAUACUGGAUGGACACCUGAUCCACACAGUCCCUGGAAGCCAGCAGUUUCAACCUCUUCGGUGCUACCACUCUGAACAUAAACAGCAGAUGAUGUGAAACGAAAAGAAGAUAGCGGAGCACUCACCAGCUAUCAAGCGGAUCUUCAACUAAAAUUCCACAAGUUUGAUCCUUCUGUUCCCUGACUACAUCUGUAAGGAGUAUAGAGUCAGAAUGCCCACAGACACAUUAAACAGUUAACUGAUCUACUACAAAUAGAUUAGAAGGUUCAGCCAACUUUUCUCUAAGGCUGCAUUCACACUGCGGUUGGAGCGUACGGCUGCCGGAUCCGGCUGGGGGAGGCAAAAACCGUGCCCUCCCGUACCCCAGCCGGACCGGUGCCAAACUCCAUUGACUUUAAUGAGCCAGUGACUCUGGUCGGCUCAUUUCUGAAUGCAGCCUAAUGUGUACAGGGCCUUCAGGGUCUGUGGUCACAGAGGCCAGAAGUGAUGUCAUUUGAUUGACAGAC